CCUGUGUCUCCUGAAUCGUUCUGGGCUCACCGUCCAUUUCCCAUGUCGCUCGUCUUCUCGCCCAACACCAGCCUUCAAUUUGUUACUCCUCCAGGGCUAUCAAGGCCUUUUCACGAAGAAUAAAGAAACUAGCUAGAUGACAUCACGAAUCAUCUCAAGAUGCCCACCCUUCUCCAAGUCUACAGCAACGGCCUCGCUAACCCCAGAAUCUGCACCCCCUUCCUGCAGGAAGUAGCUAGAGAAUGAGAUUCUAUGCCCAGUUCCCCAGAGGCCCAAUUAAGAAAAGAAAAAGAUGGGAAUUAAGGCAAAUUCUGGCGUGCUAAGACCCCUACCCCUUAAGAUCCAAUCACCAACAACCAGAUGGUCGCCCACCCCUUAAGAUACAAUCACCAACGCAGAACACACCCUUCCCCUACUCCUUAAAGACGUGCUUCCUCACCCACGAGCUGCUGCUCCCUCUCUCUGUGGGCAGCCAUUUUCUCUUUCAGAUAAUAAAAUCUCUU